rnacentral:rRNA from 1 species
GGGCUGCAGUGAGGAAUAUUGCGCAAUGGACGAAAGUCUGACGCAGCAACGCCGCGUGAACGAUGAAGCCUUUCGGGGUGUAAAGUUCUGUUAGAAGGAAAGAAUGGUCAGGGUAUCACCCUGACUUGACGGUACCUUCAAAGAAAGCACCGGCUAACUCCGUGCCAGCAGCCGCGGUAAUACGGAGGGUGCAAGCGUUGUCCGGAUUUAUUGGGCGUAAAGCGUGUGUAGGCGGAUCAGCAAGUCGGAAGUAAAAUCUCUACCGCUCAACGGAGAGUGGCCUUUCGAAACUAUUGGUCUAGAGUGCAGGAGAGGAUGAUGGAAUUCCUGGUGUAGCGGUGGAAUGCGUAGAUAUCAGGAAGAACACCGGUGGCGAAGGCGGUCAUCUGGCCUGCCACUGACGCUGAGACACGAAAGCGUGGGGAGCAAACAGGAUUAGAUACCCUUGUAGUC